GCGUGAGUGAAGAAGGCCUUCGGGUUGUAAAGCUCUUUCGGCGGGGACGAAACGGUCCGUGCUAAUACCACGGACUACUGACGGUACCCGCAGAAGAAGCACCGGCUAACUACGUGCCAGCAGCCGCGGUAAUACGUAGGGUGCAGGCGUUAAUCGGAAUUACUGGGCGUAAAGCGUGCGCAGGCGGUUUGUUAAGACAGGUGUGAAAUCCCCGGGCUCAACCUGGGAAUUGCGCUUGUUACUGGCAGACUUGAGUGUGGCAGAGGGGGGUGGAAUUCCAAGUGUAGCAGUGAAAUGCGU
rnacentral:rRNA from 1 species